rnacentral:rRNA from 1 species
AUGGGGCAGGCCUGGGCGUCUCUGCAAGAGAAGCUCCAAGGGCGGCACUGGAAGGAGAGGCAGGUGCGGAAGAUCACCGACAAGGUGUUCGACCGGCUCACCGAGGACACCCAGAAGCCCGAGAAGGACGCCCUCAAGUUCGAGGAGGUCUACAUCGCCGUCCUCUGCGUCUACAAUGACAUCAACAAGUACUUGCCAGGGCCGCACUACGACCCCCCGUCCAAGGAGAGGCUCAAGGAACUCAUGAGAGAGUUUGACAUCGACAUGAACGGUCUCCUGGACCGCGAGGAGUUCGCGGAGUUCAUCCGGAAGCUGACCGCCGAGUCACUCUGCGCGAUCAGCCUCAAGCUGAUCAUCACGCUGGUCGCCGCCCCUGCGCUGGCGCUGGCGACCAAAAGGGCAACCGAGGGCGUCCCCGGCGUCGGCAAGGUAGUGCACAAGGUGCCCAAUGCCAUCUACGCCGCCGCCAUCACCAUGGCUGCCGUGCUCAUCCAGAGAUCCGCCGAGGGCGUCGAGUAG